rnacentral:rRNA from 1 species
UACGGGGGGGGCAAGCGUUGUUCGGAAUUACUGGGCGUAAAGGGCGCGUAGGCGGGUGGACAAGUCUCUCGUGAAAGGCCACGGCUCAACCGUGGAAUUGCGGGAGAUACUGUCUGUCUUGAGUCCGGGAGAGGAGGGUGGAAUUCCCAGUGUAGCGGUGAAAUGCGUAGAUAUUGGGAGGAGCACCGGUGGCGAAGGCGGCUCUCUGGACCGGUACUGACGCUGAGGCGCGAAAGCUAGGGGAGUAAACGGG